CAGCCGCCGCGGUAAUACGGAGGGAGCUAGCGUUGUUCGGAAUUACUGGGCGUAAAGCGCACGUAGGCGGUUAUUCAAGUCAGAGGUGAAAGCCCGGGGCUCAACCCCGGAACUGCCUUUGAAACUAGAUGACUGGAAUCUUGGAGAGGUCAGUGGAAUUCCGAGUGUAGAGGUGAAAUUCGUAGAUAUUCGGAAGAACACCAGUGGCGAAGGCGACUGACUGGACAAGUAUUGACGCUGAGGUGCGAAAGCGUGGGGAGCAAACAGGAUUAGAUACCCCUGUAGUCCCUGUCUCUUAUAC
rnacentral:rRNA from 1 species